UUUACCUAUGAUGAGUUGCAAAAUUCAUUGCCUACAUUGUUUGACCAACCCUGUGAGAAAAUUGUGCAACGUCUGAGGAUGAA